rnacentral:lncRNA from 1 species
CCUAUAUAAACCACCACAGACGUGAACUAAAUAAUUUGAGUUAUAAGUCAAAGUGUGUAAACAUGAAAGUGUAUUUGUUGCUCUGUUUGAUGCUUGUUGCACUUGCAUCAACGGUUUUCGCUGGUCCGAUUAGAGCAGGUGUAUGCCCACCUGGGUAUAUACGAGUUGGGAGUCGUUGCUUUCCGGAGGACUAUGUCGAUGCUAUAUAAUGAUCAAGAUUUCAAAUUGUUCUGAAAGCAAGAUUUUUUAUUAAAAUACUAUUCAUUCCCA